rnacentral:rRNA from 1 species
UACGUAGGUGGCAAGCGUUGUCCGGAAUUACUGGGCGUAAAGGGAGCGCAGGCGGGAAGCCAAGUCAGCUGUGAAAACUACGGGCUUAACUUGUAGACUGCAGUUGAAACUGGUUCUCUUGAGUGAAGUAGAGGUUGGCGGAAUUCCGAGUGUAGCGGUGAAAUGCGUAGAUAUUCGGAGGAACACCGGUGGCGAAGGCGGCCAACUGGGCUUUAACUGACGCUGAGGCUCGAAAGUGUGGGGAGCAAACAGG